rnacentral:lncRNA from 1 species
AGCGUUAUCCUGUAGCUAUUUAGCUAGAUAGCUUAUGCAAGGGAGUUGCAUUCCCACAUGCUGCGAAAAGACUUAUCAAGUGGGUCCACCUGAGUUCUUCCUUUGCCGGCUCAGCUGUCUAUACAAAAAUUAGAAAUAAUCCAGGGUGAGUUACUUUCACAAUGUCAGCAGAAACAGCAAGAUGAGCACAGGCCAACACGGUGUCUCUGCAGAUCUGUGCAGAACCUGUGAGGGAAGGGGAGAGAGAGAGAGAGAGAGAUCUGUACUCUCGAGGGAGCUUAUACAUUAAAGGAAGAGAUCAAGAAAUGGACACAGAUAGAAGUAACACAAGAGAGGAAGAGCUAUCCUGUGAGGCAGGAGAGGCAGAUAACAAACCAGAGAUGCAAAGAGGGCGAGUGACUUACCCAAAGUCUCCCGGCCAGUUCACAGCCAAGCUGCACGACUCUCACUCCCUCCAGCAGGGUCUACUACCGCACUUGUACUGGCUUUCUCCAGAGUUCCCAGCUCCACCCCAUUUCAAGUCUAUCUCCCUUUAAGGCAGAAGAGGAAGAGAUAGCUUGCUUUCUGCCUCCCUCCCUACAUGAUUUACCAUCAAGUUCUGAAAUGAGCACACUUUAUAUACACACUGCCUGAGGGACAGUUUGCCCCGAACCUCCUCCACAGGGCUGGGCUGAGGACUGGCUGCAUUUCUAUUUUUGCCAUGCAAUUUGUAAAAAAGCUCUGCACUGUGCUUCAAAGAAAAAUAAUGGAUUCCAUGAUGAAAGGAAGAGGCCCCAUCCCUCCCACUGAGGUUAAAUGCCACCAGCCACUAGCGAAGCAGCGUUUGGAAGUUUCUGCCAAGCAAAAUGUUGAGAGCCCACAGAAAACCGAGGAGGUGGAUUGGGCCGAUCUGUGCAAUGGCAGGAAGGGGCUGGAGGGAUGAAUGACCCCCAUUUAUCCUCCUGGGCUGAAGCCCUCCCCCUGUUGAGAACAUCCCUUCUGUUUCGGCCACAGAGAGGGGUGUUGUUUGCAAUGUGUACAUAUUUAUGUGACAAAUGACUAGCUAUUUAUCAAAUACUGUAUCGAUUCUAACAUUUUUCUUCACCCCUACCCCUUCACAAUGCAGGUCUUUCUGUCUCUCCCCUUAAUAGUGCCUGAGGAAAAUCUACCACACACA